GAUGAAGAACGUAGCGAAAUGCGAUAAGUAAUGUGAAUUGCAGAAUUCAGUGAAUCAUCGAAUCUUUGAACGCACAUUGCGCCCGCCAGUAUUCUGGCGGGCAUGCCUGUUCGAGCGUCAUUACAACCCUCAGGCCCCCGGGCCUGGCGUUGGGGAUCGGCAGAAGCCCCCUGUGGGCACACGCCGUCCCUCAAAUACAGUGGCGGUCCCGCCGCAGCUUCCAUUGCGUAGUAGCUAACACCUCGCAACUGGAGAGCGGCGCGGCCAUGCCGUAAAACACCCAACUUCUGAAUGUUGACCUCGAAUCAGGUAGGAAUACUCGCUGAACUUAAGCAUAUCAAUAAGCGGAGGA
rnacentral:misc_RNA from 1 species